GGGGAAAAUUAACCAUCGUUCUGUUUGGAAAGAAAGGAGCUUCAAAGAGUUCAAUAGGAAAUCUAAUCCUACAGAAAACCGAUAGAGAUGGUUUUACCCAUGAUACGGAACUAAGUGAGCUGAGAGAGAAUGAAUUAUAUGCUGCAAUCAACACCCCAGACAUGUUUGGAGAAGGCAAUAAUCCAGACCAGCAAAUUAUCGACUGUAUGGCACUUUCACACCCCGGCCCUCAUAUAGCCCUGCUUGUGAUUCAAGAUAGGCAUGAUACAUCAGAGGAGGUUAAACAGCAAGUUGAACACUUACGAGAUAUCUUUGGAGAAAAUAUUACAGAAAACAUCAUAGUUGUGUUACCACACGGGGGUGACACCGUUCCACUGGCAAGUUAUUACAAUCAAAACAUGAAAUAUGCCCUGAAAGUCUUGAACAAUUCUAAUGAUCUGCACAAAAAGUUACCAAUGGACCGUAAGUUCUUCAAGUACACCUACGAAAAAUACAGUGAAGGUGUUGUACUAAAAAGAAAGGAAACACUGUCGGAAAAGAGAAAGGCCCAAAAGAUGUCUAUUGACUAUGAUGGUUAUCCUGGAACAAAAUUCGGGGACCAAUCAAAAACCCACCGGUCCAGUGAUCCUGGCGGCUCUCAGGAUGGGCCGGCUAGCGGAUCUGGAAACUCAAAGACUGGUAA